GAUGAACGUUGGCGGUGUGCCUAAUACAUGCAAGUCGAACGGAGUUAAUAGCAAUAUUGGCUUAGUGGCGAACGGGUGAGUAACGCGUUGGUGAUCUGCCUUGAAGUGUGGAAUAACGUUUCGAAAGGAACGCUAAUACCGCAUGUGCUCUCGAUUUUCAGAAAGUUGAGAGUAAAGGAUUUAUUCGCUUCAAGAGGAGCCUGCGUCCCAUCAGCUGGUUGGUAGGGUAACGGCCUACCAAGGCUAUGACGGGUAGGGGACCUGAGAGGGUGGCCCCCCACAAUGGAACUGAAACACGGUCCAUACACCUACGGGUGGCAGCAGUAGGGAAUAUUAGAAAUGGACGAAAGUCUGAUCUAGCAACACCGCGUGUGCGAAGAAGGCCUUCGGGUCGUAAAGCACUUUUUGGAAGGAAUAGGAAGGAAUGUACUUCCAGAAUAAGUCUCGGCUAACUACGUG
rnacentral:rRNA from 1 species